rnacentral:tRNA from 1 species
GAAAGGGCCACAAGAACUGCUAACUCAUAAACCUGAUACUAAUCCCUCAGACCUUUC